GGAGUGAAAUGAGAACAUGGCCAGGGUAGGGUGGAUCCUGAUGAUGCUGGCGGCCUUUUAGAGGCA